rnacentral:lncRNA from 1 species
GGUGGGCGGGUGGGGUCUGGAUCAUUGAUCCUAUUUUGAUACUGUACAACUUUUGGGCUGGCGAUACACCCUUUGUUUCAUUCACUAUAUUUUUUCAAUGAUGUGCUACUUUAGAUAUUUUGUGAGUUGUGUGUUGCUUCACAGUUUGGCAUAGAAGAUAGACUAAUCCACGUAUGCUAUCUGUUUUGACAUAGAUGAUACAUUGAUUCACGUUUCACAUACCUGAGUUUUCCAUAGUUUAUAAACUUUAUAAAACUGAAGAGCAUCCCUAUAUAUUGGAUAAAACUAACGACAAAUUAAGCUUGUUAACAGAGUUUAAAAAAGUCAUAACAUAACCAAUAUAUGUUUCUCUUCAGAACUUUGUAGCGGAUUCAUCUUUUGCCCCCUCCAUUUCGGAUGAGGGAGGCAUUGAAAUCUUGUGCCUCCUCUAGCCAUGUUGUACUUGAACAAGAUGCAUUUUCUCCUAUCUGUUUAUGCAUGUCCUGCUUUUGGUUAUCUCUAGUCAUGAUGGUUUUCUUGUAUGUAAGUUCUAUUGAUCCUUGACAGCUGCAUAAUAUUUUCUAUGCAAGGACCUUGAUAUGUUUCACAUUAUUAGAAUAAUUUGUCCCCUGUAGGCAACAGACUUAGAUCCGAUGAAUGAUAUCCAUUAUUUGUUAUAUAUAGUUCCUGGAUGAUUUUUUUAGUUUUGUUAGGAUGCUCGUGCUUACAUUACACUUAAGUGACGACGAAAAUUUAACUUCAUAUUAUAGGCUAUCACAGUGUGUCCUGUUAUGGCUAACUGAUGCGCUGAAUAAAGACAUCUUCUUAGCAUUCAUACACAAACUUCGAUGCAGAUUAAAGGUGAAGAUUAGAAGUUAGACCUUCAAUAAGAAAACUAGAUUGUAGCCAAUCUUCUAUUUGAUCCCUUUGGAGAAUAGGGAUUAGAAGUACUUGAUAUGAAGGAAUGAGAAUACCCUUUUUAAGUAACUUUAACAUUCGUGCAAGCAUUUAGGGGGCUAUACCGAAGCAAAAUUCAUAUUAAUAUAUUUAUGCUUUGCAAGACAUAUAGCUCACACCAUUUGUGAACUUCAACCAGGCCUCUAUAUGUGUUCCACAUUAUGUAGUUCACAACCUUGACUCCUUUCUAUUAACGACAAUUUACGGCCUUCUUCAUUGUCAGGAUAUUCGAACCCGAGCCGAGCUAUGUUCGACCAGAAGAGGAGCGAACUAAAGGCGGCUAGGGGCGAUGUCGUGGAUCUUGAACGAGGUGAACCUCAUCCUUAAGAUGAGAGGUGGCUACAUAUCCCUCACAAUCGCAUCAUCGACACCUCCC